CAAGACAAGACAAAACACAAUAACAAAACAAAGCAUAAGUAAUCCUGCAGAAAUAGCGUAAAUGAUUAUGUAAACAUAAGAAACAUAAAUACCGUGGCAUGCGACAAUAACAAGCGACAACUAUCAUAUUACCAGCCAAGAGGGACCUACGCUAAAACACUAGUCAUCUACGGGUAACCCUACUAUCCCACACCCAACCCCGGGUGGGGCGAACGAAGGACUAUAAGAGCCCCAAGCCUGCAACCCUGAUUCU
rnacentral:lncRNA from 1 species